rnacentral:rRNA from 1 species
UGAGGGAAAGGCGAAAAGAACCCCGGCGAGGGGAGUGAAAAAGAACCUGAAACCGUGUACGUACAAGCAGUGGGAGCCCCACCACCAAAGCAUUCUCUGGUGUUGAAGGCCCUGCAAAGCAGCAUCGCGGUGGCGGAGCGUCGUUUGCGACGCCCAACACACAAAACAAGCGGUGAGUGCUUUGGGGUGGGGUGACUGCGUACCUUUUGUAUAAUGGGUCAGCGACUUAUAUUCUGUAGCAAGGUUAACCGUAUAGGGGAGCCGUAGGGAAACCGAGUCUUAACCGGGCGUUAAGUUGCAGGGUAUAGACCCGAAACCCGGUGAUCUAGCCAUGGGCAGGUUGAAGGUUGGGUAACACUAACUGGAGGACCGAACCGACUAAUGUUGAAAAAUUAGCGGAUGACCUGUGGCUGGGGGUGAAAGGCCAAUCAAACCGGGAGAUAGCUGGUUCUCCCCGAAAGCUAUUUAGGUAGCGCCUCGUGAACUCAUCUCCGGGGGUAGAGCACUGUUUCGGCUAGGGGGCCAUCCCGGCUUACCAACCCGAUGCAAACUGCGAAUACCGGAGAAUGUUAUCACGGGAGACACACGGCGGGUGCUAACGUCCGUCGUGAAGAGGGAAACAACCCAGACCGCCAGCUAAGGUCCCAAAGUCAUGGUUAAGUGGGAAACGAUGUGGGAAGGCCCAGACAGCCAGGAUGUUGGCUUAGAAGCAGCCAUCAUUUAAAGAAAGCGUAAUAGCUCACUGGUCGAGUCGGCCUGCGCGGAAGAUGUAACGGGGCUAAACCAUGCACCGAAGCUGCGGCAGCGA